AGCAGCCGCGGUAAUUCCAGCUCCAAUAGCGUAUAUUAAAGUUGCUGCAGUUAAAAAGCUCGUAGUUGAAUUUCGGGACUAAUAUGUCGGUCGUGCCUCGGUACGUACUGGUUUAUUGGUUUCUCCUUUCUGAAGAACCAUGAUGUCAUUUAUUUGGUGUCGUGGGGAAUCAGGACUGUUACUUUGAAAAAUUAGAGUGUUUAAAGCAGGCUCACGCUUGAAUACAUUAGCAUGGAAUAAUGAAAUAGGACGUUUGAUCCUAUUUUGUUGGUUUCUAGGAUUGACGUAAUGAUUAAUAGGGAUAGUUGGGGGCAUUAGUAUUCAAUUGUCAGAGGUGAAAUUCUUGGAUUUAUUGAAGACUAACUACUGCGAAAGCAUUUGCCAAGGAUGUUUUCAUUAAUCAAGAACGAAAGUUAGGGGAAUCGAAGACGAUCAGAUACCGUCGUAGUCUUAACCAUAAACUAUGCCGACUAGGGAUCGGAUGAUGUUAAUUUUUAAUGACUCAUUCGGCGCCUUACGG
rnacentral:rRNA from 1 species